rnacentral:rRNA from 1 species
UAGGGUGACCUGGGAUAGGAUCAUUA